rnacentral:rRNA from 3 species
AAAACGACUCUCGGCAACGGAUAUCUCGGCUCUCGCAUCGAUGAAGAACGCAGCGAAAUGCGAUACUUGGUGUGAAUUGCAGAAUCCCGUGAACCAUCGAGUCUUUGAACGCAAGUUGCGCCCAAAACCUUCGGGUCGAGGGCACGUCUGCCUGGGUGUCACGC